AUUAAAAUAACAGGUGGUAAGAAUUGGUUCCAAUAUAUUUAUUAGCAGAGACUAAUUUUACUGAAUGACAAACAGUCCCAACUGUUGGUUUUGGAAUGGUAACAGAGAGAGAAAGAGAGAGAGAGAGACAGAUAAAGAGAGAGAGAGAGAAGUCAUCAUUAUUUUUGUAGAACAAAGCAUUAACUCAGAGGAAAAGUUGGAGCUUUGGUAUUUAUGAUGGAAUUGUGAAUUAUUUAGACUUCCUUUUUUUUAUUCACUUUUUGUUGUUCUUUUUUAAAGUUUUUUUUUUUGUUGGUCUUGAAAAAAAAAA